ensembl:miRNA
AAUAUUAGGUUGGCCAAAAAGUUUAUUCAGGUUUCCAUCAUACCAUUGUAUGGAAAAACCUGAAUGAACUUUUUGGCCAACCCAAUAUAU